CCUACGGGGGGCAGCAGUGGGGAAUUUUGGACAAUGGGCGAAAGCCUGAUCCAGCAAUGCCGCGUGCAGGAAGAAGGCCUUCGGGUUGUAAACUGCUUUUGUACGGAACGAAACGGUCUGCUUUAAUACAGUGGGCUAAUGACGGUACCGUAAGAAUAAGCACCGGCUAACUACGUGCCAGCAGCCGCGGUAAUACGUAGGGUGCGAGCGUUAAUCGGAAUUACUGGGCGUAAAGCGUGCGCAGGCGGUUAUGUAAGACAGUUGUGAAAUCCCCGGGCUCAACCUGGGAAUUGCAUCUGUGACUGCAUAGCUAGAGUACGGUAGAGGGGGAUGGAAUUCCGCGUGUAGCAGUGAAAUGCGUAGAUAUGCGGAGGAACACCGAUGGCGAAGGCAAUCCCCUGGACCUGUACUGACGCUCAUGCACGAAAGCGUGGGGAGCAAACAGGAUUAGAUACCCCGGUAGUC
rnacentral:rRNA from 1 species